AUUGAACGCUGGCGGAAUGCUUUACACAUGCAAGUCGAGCGGCAGCGCGGGGGCAACCCUGGCGGCGAGCGGCGAACGGGUGAGUAACAUAUCGGAACGUACCCAGUCGUGGGGGAGUAACUAUCCGAAAGGAUAGCUAAUACCGCAUACGUCCUGAGGGAGAAAGCGGGGGAGUCGCAAGACCUCGCGCGAUUGGAGCGGCCGAUAUCGGAUUAGCUAGUUGGUGGGGUAAAGGCUCACCAAGGCGACGAUCCGUAGCGGGUCUGAGAGGACGACCCGCCACACUGGAACUGAGACACGGUCCAGACUCCUACGGGAGGCAGCAGUGGGGAAUUUUGGACAAUGGGGGCAACCCUGAUCCAGCCAUUCCGCGUGAGUGAAGAAGGCC
rnacentral:rRNA from 1 species